UACGUAGGGUGCAAGCGUUAAUCGGAAUUACUGGGCGUAAAGCGUGCGCAGGCGGUCAUGUAAGACAGUUGUGAAAUCCCCGGGCUCAACCUGGGAACUGCAUCUGUGACUGCAUUGCUGGAGUACGGUAGAGGGGGAUGGAAUUCCGCGUGUAGCAGUGAAAUGCGUAGAUAUGCGGAGGAACACCGAUGGCGAAGGCAAUCCCCUGGACCUGUACUGACGCUCAUGCACGAAAGCGUGGGGAGCAAACAGG
rnacentral:rRNA from 1 species